UUCCUAAUCUUAUCUAGUGUAGUGUUCACUUUGUUUUGUCACAGUUACACAGCUGAUGAUCUUGCACUCCUUCAGGUGAUCCUCGAUAUGUCUGUGACUAUGGAUAUCAGUCAGCUUCCUCGGGGGGCAGAGACUCUGAAUAUGCUGCGCAGUGAGUUUCCAGGUCUACGUACGCAACGUGGCUUAUUACAGGACACGUACACCUUGCAAGGCAGCUACUCUGAUUUUCAAGGUGCCUUUCCUUACAUGCAGAUGUUAGUUAAUCGUCACCUUUCAAAGGCUGAAUCUCCUAAUUUUAGUGGAGACAGAGGUCAAAAUCUUGAGAAGAGGGAAGAGCUUGCAAGUGUAAAGAAAUGGGCCAGCUUCACAUCGCAGUCACCAGGAGAUGUCAGCUCUAUAUCCACAGCAGGUUUAGGACAUUACGGACUGCAAGAUAACAAUGAAGCUCUCACUGAACGCAGUACUCGGACUAAGAAAAGCAAAAUGGAGGAGGGGGCAGAGUGCAGGAUAGAUGACGGUAAUUUGGAAGAUCUUUCAAUCAUCAUGGAAGCUGAUGCGUUUGCGUACCUGCAGAACAUUAAGGAGUACAAGCAGAUACUGUGUCUUCAUGGAGUGCAAGUGGUUCAUGUUACAUCCGAGGGGGUCACCACCCUGUACCUACAGUCAGAUGUCCUGACCGGGUCAGGGGUUAAACAGAACAUGCGUCAAGCCCAUAAGGAGCUGAGCCAACUUUACCAACAGUUAGAGGGUUGUCUGAGAAAAGACCAGAUUCAAAAGAGUGACCUUUACAUGCCAGACGGACUGACUUCAGCAUUAAAAAAGGUGCAGUUAGUACUGCCUAAUGUUCUGCUUAGCUAUGACCAGCAUAGCAUUUAUAUAGUUGGAGAGAAAAGUGAGGUAUCUCAGGCCAAACAAAUGCUACUGCUUGGGAGGGAUGAAGACGUGAUGCAGAACUUGACAGAAGUGCCACCAUCCUCUUCCAGUUCUCCAUCCCUUGAAUCCUUGGAGAGAGAGCAACAGGUUAAGAGAAAAAGUGAAGUACGCACUUCAGUGCCCCCUAAACUGUUCGGCUCUAGCACUGAACGAAAAGGGGAGGUUGGGAAUACAAAAGAAUACAAACUAGCAGCACGGUUUAAGAGCUCUGGGCUAGGAGAGAUGGGUGGAGACGUAAGGAGUUUUACGGCUAAAAUGGACAUGCUAGACCCAACACCACCCAUUAGGUCUCCGCUUGGCACUGCAGGCAUACUCAGUAAUGAACUGACAGGGGAAGGAACUGAAACAUUUAGGAUGACAAGACCAAGCUGUAGAGGAGAGGAUGUCCUGUUUAAAAACCAAGACCCGCUAUUUGUGAAUACAUUUGGUGGAACCACCUUCAACACAUCCAAAGCCAAACCAACUACUCCCGCUGGACUCACUUCGACACUGACCACAGGAGUCAAAGUUUCAGUAAACACAAGUGUGAAUGCCCUAUCAGCCAGUAAUGCUGAAGUGAAGACAGCUGCUCCCUCCUCAACAUCGAUGCCCAUUUCCAAAUCCCCCUUAAGAAGAGCCAAUAGUUUCUCAGGUCAGCCACAGCUAAAAGAUCAGGUGAAAAAUAUCCAGAUUACAGCUAAGCCAGUGAUUAGUGCAUAUGCCCAUCAAAGAGCAAGAUCCAAUAGCCUCAGUGGCAGAAAACCCAAUGACGAUUGCCAGAUUACAGUAGAAGCACAACUUACUGUGUCUUUUCUGAUGUGGUGCUACAUAAAGGAGGUCUACUGCAACCAACUGGACUCCAUGAAAUCUGGCUUGCAAAUGACUGAGAAACAAGCAGGCAAAAGUGAGAUGAGCGUGACACUGAAGGGCACAGAUUCAUCAAAGGUUGGAGAAAGUCAUCGCCAGCUUCAGAAUCUAGUGGCUUCGGUAGCCAGUGACUUUUGCAUUCAGGAGUUAAGUUUGACAGGGCUUGGCAGAGUUGAAAACGAUAAACUGUUUGAAACCUGCUGCUUGA
ensembl:lncRNA